rnacentral:rRNA from 1 species
AUUGAACGCUAGCGGCAUGCCUUACACAUGCAAGUCGAACGGCAGCACGGAGCUUGCUUUGGUGGCGAGUGGCGAACGGGUGAGUAAUAUAUCGGAACGUACCCAAGAGUGGGGGAUAACGUAGCGAAAGUUACGCUAAUACCGCAUACGAUCUAAGGAUGAAAGCAGGGGAUCUUCGGACCUUGUGCUCCUGGAGCGGCCGAUAUCUGAUUAGCUAGUUGGUGGGGUAAAGGCCCACCAAGGCAACGAUCAGUAGCUGGUCUGAGAGGACGACCAGCCACACUGGAACUGAGACACGGUCCAGACUCCUACGGGAGGCAGCAGUGGGGAAUUUUGGACAAUGGGGGCAACCCUGAUCCAGCAAUGCCGCGUGAGUGAAGAAGGCCUUCGGGUUGUAAAGCUCUUUUGUCAGGGAAGAAAAGGUUCGGGCUAAUAUCCCGGGUUCAUGACGGUACCUGAAGAAUAAGCACCGGCUAACUACGUGCCAGCCGCCGCCGUAAAAC